AGCAGCCGCAGUAAUUCCAGCUCCAAUAGCGUAUAUUAAAGUUGUUGCAGUUAAAAAGCUCGUAGUUGAAUUUCGGGAUCGAUACGUCGGUCGUGCCUUCGGUACGCACUGGCGUUUAUCGAUUUCUCCCUUCUGACGAACCAUGAUGUCAUUAAUUUGGUGUUAUGGGGAAUCAGGACUGUUACUUUGAAAAAAUUAGAGUGUUUAAAGCAGGCAUUAGCUUGAAUACAUUAGCAUGGAAUAAUGAAAUAGGACGUUCGAACCUAUUUUGUUGGUUUCUAGGAUCAACGUAAUGAUUAAUAGGGAUAGUUGGGGGCAUUAGUAUUCAAUUGUCAGAGGUGAAAUUCUUGGAUUUAUUGAAGACUAACUACUGCGAAAGCAUUUGUCCAAGGAUGUUUUCAUUAAUUCAAGAACGAAAGUUAGGGGAAUCGAAGACGAUCAGAUACCGUCGUAGUCUUAACCAUAAACUAUGCCGACUAGGGAUCGGAUGAUGUUAAUUUUUUAAUUGACUCAUUCGGCG
rnacentral:rRNA from 1 species